AUGUUGUUUGUUGAGAUCUCUAUCUUUCCAAAGUAUCUUUCUUUUCAGAAAGUUGGGCACUGUACACUGGAUCCAGCAUCGGAUUGGGUAAAAGUCAACCAGACAGACGGAAUUGGUGGAUGUGGAGUAUACUAACCGUUAGACGAAGAAAAACUAGAAAUCCAAAUCAACACUUUCGCUGUAGAACUGCGAGUGGUCGCUGGACCGAGAUGCGCUAAUAUUUAUACCAUUCUGGCGACCCUCAGUCGUUUUAGAUAUUUUCCGCACGCACACUCAAUCGCCUCUCGGCACACAUGUGCACAUGGAUGCACAUUGCGCCGGCGGGGGGAGAUUCUGAGUUUCUUUU
ensembl:ncRNA lncRNA:CR45591 long non-coding RNA:CR45591